GAUGAACGCUAGCUACAGGCUUAACACAUGCAAGUCGAGGGGAAACGACAUCGAAAGCUUGCUUUUGAUGGGCGUCGACCGGCGCACGGGUGAGUAACGCGUAUCCAACCUGCCCAUCACUUGGGAAUAACCUUGCGAAAGUAAGACUAAUACCCAAUGAUAUCCCACGAAGGCAUCGGAAUGGGAUUAAAGAUUUAUCGGUGAUGGAUGGGGAUGCGUCUGAUUAGCUUGUUGGCGGGGUAACGGCCCACCAAGGCAACGAUCAGUAGGGGUUCUGAGAGGAAGGUCCCCCACAUUGGAACUGAGACACGGUCCAAACUCCUACGGGAGGCAGCAGUGAGGAAUAUUGGUCAAUGGGCGAGAGCCUGAACCAGCCAAGUAGCGUGCAGGAAGACGGCCCUAUGGGUGGUAAACUGCUUUUAUAAGGGAAUAAAGUGGGUCACGUGUGACUUUUUGCAUGUACCUUAUGAAUAAGGACCGGCUAAUUCCGUG
rnacentral:rRNA from 1 species